rnacentral:rRNA from 1 species
UACCGGGGGGGGCAAGCGUUGUUCGGAAUUACUGGGCGUAAAGGGUUCGUAGGUGGCCAACUAAGUCAGACGUGAAAUCCCUCAGCUUAACUGGGGAACUGCGUCUGAUACUGGUUGGCUUGAGUGCAGGAGAGGAAUGCGGAAUUCCAGGUGUAGCGGUGAAAUGCGCAGAUAUCAGGAGGAACACCAAUUGCGAAGGCAGCUCGCUGGGACGUUACUGACGCUGAGACGCGAAAGCGUGGGGAGCAAACAGG